GAGUUUACUGACAAAUGGAUUAUGAGUGCCCUGUCAACUUGGUUUUCAGAAAGAAAACAAAAACUGUUGCUACCAUCUACUAUGGAAUGUUAGCUCAUCGUCUCCACUGCAAUUGGUAAGAGUACCCAGGAUAUCAUCUAUCUAUAAACAUAAAACAUGGCCCAACAGGCAUCACUAAGAAUCGGUCCCAGUCAAACUCUGCAUCUUAUGGAGCUUUGCAAGGCAGUUGAGUAAUACACGCACUGAAGCUGGGACUGGAUCUGAAAUUUACCUCUGUAUAAACCCUUUAUACAAAUCAGCGAGUCAGGUCCAGUUUCUGAAGAGUCUGGAAGGAAGCGACAAUGAUUGCUUUGCUUUCAUAUAUAAGUUUGUGUUGACAAAGGGUACAUUGCUAUCCAAAAGUAUGAGGCGUCGGCAGCAAUUCAACGAGGAGCCAAGGAGUGGGUAAUUUGGGGCACUUCUUCCCAUCGCACUCAACUCAAAAUCUCAGCUUCUGAAGCAACUGAAAAUAAGGGAGAGAAAAUGCAUUCAGAUAUAAUAAAUUGAGUUCUACUGAAUAUGCAUAGCAAGUCAAUCGGAAUAAAAGAAAUAAAGGAGAGAAAACGGUAGUGGACUGUAUGUUAGGAACUGAACGAGAUAUAUAGUUGGAGCGCAAUAAAUAGAUGCAGGAGCAUACGGACCUCAGCUACUUGAAGAGCCACCGACGCACCAGGGGAGCAACCUGCUCUUCGUAGACUUCUUUGUUUCAGGUUCAUCUGGUUGUGGAAUCCUUUUAUCUGGAAUCGAGAAGACCAAGUCGAAGUACUCCCCACCUUCCCUGCAACGUCUCUGCAGGUCCGGGCAGCCAUAUAUUUUCAGGGAUUUGAGGGCUGGGAGCCGCUGGAGGAGACCCUGCGGGAAUUUACUUAUCCCUGGACAAUUAUAGAUCUCCAAUUCCUCAAGAGAAGUGAGGCCGUCCAUCCCGCCCGGCAGCACUUUCAGCUCAGAGCACGACACCAACCCGAGAUGCCUCAGCUUUGCCAGAUCUCCAAGGUUUGAAGGCAGCGCCACCAAACUUCCGCAAUAGAAAAUAUCCAAUUCCUCAAGAGAAGUGAGGCCGUCCAUCCCGCCCGGCAGCACUUUCAGCUCAGAGCACGACACCAACCCGAGAUGCCUCAGCUUUGCCAGAUCUCCAAGGUUUGAAGGCAGCGCCACCAAACUAACGCACCGGCGAAUGUCCAUUUUCUCAAGUAAAGCGGGCAACUUUGGAAUCUCCAACAAGCUACGGCAGGAUCGUAUUUGUAACAUUUCCAACCGGGGCAGCGGAAGGAAUUCCUCAGAGGAUGAUCCCUUCCCCUCUAGUUUGCUGCACCAAUGAAUCUCUAGAGAUUGAAGGCGAACAAAACAUCGGAACUCCUCCACUGGCCAGCGGACAAUAUUGUCGCAUGAAAAGAUUUCCGAAUGUUCCACGAAUGCCAAACAAUCCCCAAGCCCCAGUUGUAAUUUGGAUGAGUUGAACAUUGAUAUGAAGCCAUUGUUACCUUGUACAGCCAAACGUCUAAGGGUGCGUAGAGGUCUUUGGCUUUGGUUUUGAUGGUCCUUCACAGGCAUCACCACGUUUACCAGCCUCCCAAACGUCAAGUGGAUAAGAGAUGGAAAAGAUCCCCACUCCAUGCUCAUAGGAACAAUACAAUCUGCAGACUUCUCCUCAAAAGAUGCAGAAGUGAGAGCUGGGGCCUCCGGAAGAUUUACAAUUUUGUUGCAAUUGGUGAUGGACAGCUCUUCUAGCUGGGGAAACAUCACCAAGCUAUUAGGUUCUCCCGCGCUGUUUUCUGCCCAUCUCUCAAACUCCGGCAGUUUAUGCAACCGCAUCAUCUUUAACUUGGGGAAAAUUUCCUGAGAGGUACUAUAUCCUGCAGCUUCCGCAUCAAUGUUCUUACAUAAUGUGGUCAGGCUGUUCAUGGAGCUUAAGUGCAAUUUCUCAAGAGGGGACAACAACCACACUAAUGGUAGAUCCUUGCAGCGUGGGCAGUCGGAAAUCCGUAGUUCUCUUAGACAACAAAACAUUUGGGGGUCUCUCAUCCAUUGUGAGAUUGCCAGGCCACCAUACCCAUGUAGCUCCAAUGUUUUGAGCUUAGUAUAAGGUACAAGCGAUUCCAGUACCUCUUCCUGAUUAUUACUUACAACCUCAUCAUGCAAUGGAUUGUAACCUACUUCACGUCCCCAAUGCAAAAACAGCCCAGUUAGAUUCUUUUUCUCAUGGAGAUUGGCCUUUGAUCCACUCUUUACUUUCCUCAAAUUGAACAGUUCCAACAUGUUUCCAAGUUGUCUCAGGCCUUGGAGCUCCUCGAUACCAAAGCCAUCUCCAGUGUCCACAAUAAAUGAUGUCAGUGUACAGAGGUUGUGUAGUAGACUAAGCUUUGGAGGCAUCCUCUCCAAUCUAAUGCAUCCCAACAGAUAAAUAUGGGUGAGCUGCCUCAUAGUUUGCAUGCCUUCCGGUAAAAAUUUUAGUUUUGUACAAAGAUUGAGCCACAAUGAUUGCAAGUUGUACAGCAUACAAAAUGAAUUCGGCAGUUCAACAAUUUCUGAUCCAGAAAUAUCAAGAUAUCUUAAAUGUGUUGUAUUUAUGAGCCUGUGGAUAACAUAUGCAUCUGGGCAAUGGAUCGCUCGUACUGAUUUCAGUUUUAACUCCUUAACAUCCUUGCACUUUGGGUUUUGAGCUAAUAAAGUUCGGAGAGAUAGCGAGGCUUUCAUUAAUCCAGUGAUUUCAUCCGAUUCAUCCCAUGGCAGCUGCAUGUGACGUACAUUAUUUACGGAGGCUUUCUGCUGAAUCAACUCUUCUGCAAAAGCACACUCAUCUGUGAUAUCUUUUGCUAGGUCAUGCAUUAAAUCAUGCAUUUUACAUCCAAUUUCCUUGCAUCGACGGAAAGGACCAUAUCCAUCAAAUACCUUGACAUUUACAUCUUGAAUAAAUGACCUCCACACCAACUCAUAGAAAACAAAUUCACCUUUUUGCACCAAAUCUAUAUCUCCCUCUGCUUGAAUAAAAUUGUUUGCCAUCCAUAGUUGGAUCAACUUUUCCUUAUCCAUCUCGUAGUCCUUAGGGAAAACCGCACAGAACGCAAAGCACUGCUUCAUUUCAGACGACAAGUGCAUGUAGCUCAGUUUUAGAAUGGACAGUAUUUCAAUGUUGCCACCCCUAUUGCUUUCUGCAAUGGCCUCCCAUUCCUUGAUUUGAUAUUUUGAGCUCAUCAAUCCACCCAUUGUCUUCAAAGCAAGAGGUAGCCCCUUGCACUUGUUGACAAUAAGUUUGCCGACUGUUAUGAACUCUUCUUGCUCUUCCACUCCUUUACAAAAUGCUUUCUUUGAGAACAACUCCCAUGAAUCCUCCUCACUCAGGCAUGCAAGCUCAUGGGUUGGAAGGGUGCCCAUGAUAGAGGCAACUUUUGGGAUUCGACUCGUGACAACUAUCAUGCUUCCCAGUCCACCAAUAGAAGAACAUAGUAGUGGCUUCAGGUCGUCAUCCCACUUGAGCUGGUCUUCAUUCCACACAUCAUCAAGAAUCAAUAGGAACCUUUUUCUACCAAUGACUUCCUGCAGUCUCUGUCGAAGCAGCUCCAUGGUGUCUGGCAGAUCACAUCUUCCAUUUGUAGCUAACUCGAUAACGGACUUCACAACAGCAGUGGCUUCAAAGUUUUCAGACACACAGUGCCACAUCCUGAACUCAAAGUGCUCCUGAACUUUGCGGUCAUUGUACACCAUCUUUGCUAGUGUGGUCUUACCCAAACCUCCCAUUCCAAUGAUGGGCAACACCUGCACACUGCGCUGAUCUUGCUGGUCGAGUAACAGCUUCACCACCACCGCCUUGUCGUCAUCUCUUCCAAAGAUUUCCGCAGACUCGUCGAGUGCAGAGUGCGUCUGCCGAUUCAGAGGUUGUGGCGCCUCUGGCUCGCGCUGAAGCAGGACAAAUUUCUGCAUGUCCUUCACCAGCUUGUCGAUCUUGCCCAGCACGUUCUUGAGGUCCCUGCUCGCCUUAUCACGGAACACAAGUCGAUUCCUUGAGCUGAAGAAAUCCAGUACCUUGCUGGUGGUAGAUCGAAGGCUCUGGGCCUCCCGACGCAGCGCCUCGUACUGGAAGUCAUCGAGGACGUCGUCGGCCUGGUACGCGGCGGCCCUGAGCUCCCUCAUCCACCCCUUGACGGCGCGGCCGGCCUCGGUCUCCGCCUCCGCCUUCGCCUCGGCGUCGGCCAGCAGGGACUGCACGUACAGCAGCUUGAGCUCCAGGUCGCGGCGGUCGUCGUCGACGCCCCACAUGGCGGUGACCUUCUGGACGAGCGCGUCGGCGGCCUUGCCGAGCACGCCGCGCACCACGGGGAGGAGCAGCGUCUCAGCCAUGCUGGGCGGCGCCCUUGCCGGGAUGGAUCUCACUUCUCAGCAGGCUGCAGGCUGCGUGCGCGCCGUCCGCCGUGGGGAGCGAUAGGCAGAGCCGGGGAAUGGUGGUCGAGGCUUCAAUCGGGAACUGGAAGAGAGCUACUGUGCUGGCUGCUGGAGUGCUGGGCCUCCCUCUCGUCGUCGUCGUCUCAACGAGCGCGUGAAAUGAAAGCUUGUGGGUCUUUUUUGUAAAAAGAAAACCUAGUGGGCCUUUCAAUCAAUCAAUAAAGACAAGGGAAUAAAGUAGUGCGCGUGACGUUUCGCUGCAGUUGGCAGCAAUGAUCCACCUAAAUUUAGCAAACCUUAGGUCUGCCAGUGUCAUGUGAGAAAAAAAGUAAGAAAUGCAAAAUUAAACUGCCUAACUUCUGUAGGGAUUAUGCAGUUUUCUUUCAACCUUUUUGUUCUUUGCAACGUAUUCUGUUUGAACAUUUGUAAGGGAAUAUGGGAGCCUUCACGAGGGUCCUGCAUAAUGCAUCUGCAUUUGUACAAUGUUUCACGAAAACAAAACUCUAUGAAAAGAUCCCUCUGAAAAUAAUGCAAUCUAUUUUGAUUGAGCAAGGCACAAUUGCCUUAUAUGUCCACACGUAGAUCACAAGGGCACAUCUCGAUAUGUACAAUCAUCUUUCAUCAGAAGGGCAGCUACUUCAUGAAGAAAGAUGACCAACUCCAUUUACAAGCUUACUAUACUAUACAUCAUCUGCAAACAAAACCAAACCGCUUGCCAGAUGAUUAAAUAAGGACCACUGAUCCUAAAGAAGAAAAAAAUGGGUAAAAAUGAAGAACAAAAAAAUGGGUAAGUCAGUAUCAAGCAGCCUAGCGCUGACACUGCUACAGUAUUGUGUCCGUAGUUCGUGGGCUGUGUGAGCCUCUGGAGUAUAUUCAUGCUCCAUUUUGUUUAUGAAGGUUUACAUAGGCCUUUCUCGUGUUCUUGCGGAAUGAAGUUUGGUCUCCAUGCACAUGACCCUAGAGCGUCCAUGCCUACAGCGUCAACCCUGUAUAAACUGAAGGUUCCAUAGUUAGAUCAUCAGUGCCAGCAUUUUCUUUAUUCCUGUUGCUUGCUUUAUUUUUUUUGGGUCGAGAUUUGCCAUGCCAAUAGGUGUGGACAGAAGACAAGGCUGCUGCUAACUUUCCACACUUUCAAACUCUAUGAAGAAUUGAAUUGGGUCCCAUUCUUUUGGUAUCUUACAAUCUAGAGGUUUAAAUCAGUACAUCGUGCAAAACUUGUACAAAAGUCACCAACCCGACAGUGAGGAUUCAUCCUUGCAUAAAUGGAUAAAAAUGAAGAACAACAAUAGGCGCGCCAUGUUGAGGAAGCUCCAUCCAGAACGACAUAUACAUAAAUUGCUUUCAUGCCACAAACUUGGAUUAUCUGCAAGGCAAGCUGGGACCGGGCGCAACUGGAGCCAUGUUAGUUGAGUCGACCACACCAAAAGGGGGGCUUUGAUUUUCUGAAGAUGUGAUUGCAAGAUUAUCUACUAUGGUCCUCUAACAAAAUAAGAAUAUCUUCAUCGCUUGUUCCACCGUCAAUUGCGUACUGUAAUGCUGUUCUACCAUCUUGAUCCAUCGCUUGUGAAUCGGCCCCUCUGCAUAGAAACGCAAAACACAGAUAUGAGAUGUGUAUUUGCAUUUUUGCUGCUUUCCGGGAUCAUUCCCGGUCACCAAGCAAAACAGAGCUGCGAUGAUAUAUAGUGUCAUACUAGCAGUGAUUCACAUCAACCCUUUUGACGGAGCAAACAUGUAGUGCAAGAUCAAAUUCCUGAGUUAUCAUCAGGUUCUUGCAUACCUGGAGAGGAGAAGCUUGGCAUGCUGAUGUCUUCCUUUCAAAAUGCAGUGAUGAAGGGGUGUCCGACCCUUUGAAUCAGUCAUAUUUACACUAGAGCCAUACUGCAAUAGUAAUUCAACCAUCCCAACAUCUGCGACACGGCAUGCAAGAUGAAGCAAGGAGAAACCUUCACAACUUUCCUCCAUGUCAUCUGUGCGUGAACUUGUGCUAGCAGGGGAAAGGGGCCCUCUUGGAGAAACCUUGCAAGUGUUUACUGUAAUUCGAUCGAGUCCCCACAGGGAAAAGAAAGCCAAACGUGGUGGCAAUGUCGACAAAGUUUCUUUGUGAUCUUUCUUGAUAGGUCGUCGUCAGCCACUGAUGGAGGCCGCAGGCAGCAACUCGACGUCAGCAGAGGAGAGCAAGCUCCACCUGGUGUUCUGCACCGAGGAGGUGUGCCAGCAGCCGCCGAUGUCGGUGUGCUACCAGUCGGAGCUCGAAUGCCGGGAGGAAUGCGACCCCAAGUGCCAGUUGCAGGCAUCGCUUCUUGGUUCUGAGAACUGAGAUGGAAGGCUGUGCGAUUGCCAGUGUUGAGGGGAAUAAUGUGCUGACGAUGAUGCGCUUUUCAUCAUAAGGGAAGGGGGAUGAAGAAUGACGAGGAUACAGAGAAGCAAGCAACUUGAUUUACGAGCUUAGUAUACUGUAAUACAGCAAACAAAACCAAACAUCUAAUAAUAACCACUGAUGCUCACGAAGCAAAAUGAGGGGGCGCAAUGGCGCAUCAUGUUGCAGAGCCCCAGAAGGAUAUAUGCGGUCGGCUGCGUACGAAUCAUCAGCACCCUGCAUAUUCAGAAACAGAAAAAGAAACUGAGACAUACAUUUUUUAUUAAAAAAACAAUUUUGUUCUUCGACGUGAACUGUUUAAUAAAAGCAUUUUUUUAGUUUCUUUUUCGUUAUGCUUGUUCCUCUUGAAAAGAAGAACGCUAAACUUUUCUGAAGUCAUUUGCUGCGAGGUGAGUUUACUGACAAAUGGAUUAUGAGUGCCCUGUCAACUUGGUUUUCAGAAAGAAAACAAAAACUGUUGCUACCAUCUACUAUGGAAUGUUAGCUCAUCGUCUCCACUGCAAUUGGUAAGAGUACCCAGGAUAUCAUCUAUCUAUAAACAUAAAACAUGGCCCAACAGGCAUCACUAAGAAUCGGUCCCAGUCAAACUCUGCAUCUUAUGGAGCUUUGCAAGGCAGUUGAGUAAUACACGCACUGAAGCUGGGACUGGAUCUGAAAUUUACCUCUGUAUAAACCCUUUAUACAAAUCAGCGAGUCAGGUCCAGUUUCUGAAGAGUCUGGAAGGAAGCGACAAUGAUUGCUUUGCUUUCAUAUAUAAGUUUGUGUUGACAAAGGGUACAUUGCUAUCCAAAAGUAUGAGGCGUCGGCAGCAAUUCAACGAGGAGCCAAGGAGUGGGUAAUUUGGGGCACUUCUUCCCAUCGCACUCAACUCAAAAUCUCAGCUUCUGAAGCAACU
rnacentral:lncRNA from 1 species